GUGCUCGCUUCGGCAGCACAUAUACUAAAAUUGGAACGACACCGAGAAACUUAUCAAGGAUGACACGUUAUUUCGUGAAGCGUUCCAUAUUUUU
rnacentral:snRNA from 1 species